CCGCAUUCGCCCUUCGGGGCGCACCAGGCGCGAAACCUUUACAAUGCACGCAAGUGUGAUAGGGGGAUACUCAGUGCUUACGGCUCUGCUGUAGGCUUUUUUCGAUCGUAAAUAGAUCGGAGAAUAAGUGGUGGGAAAGACUGGUGCCAGCCGCCGCGGUAACCCCAGCGCCACAAGUGGUCAUCGCGAUUAUUGGGCCUAAAGCGUUCGUAGCCGGUUUGGUGCAUCUUUUGUGAAAUUGUACUGCUUAACAGUACAGCGUGCAGAAGACACGGCCAGACUCGAGACCGGGAGGCGUAUGAAGUAUUCCAUGGGGACUGGUAAAAUGGGAUAAUCCAUGGAAGACUACCGAUGGCGAAGGCAUCAUACGAGAACGGAUCUGACGGUGAGGAACGAAAGCUAGGGGAGCGAACCGGAUUAGAUACCCGAGUAGUCCUAGCCGUAAACGCUGUGAGCUAGGUGUCGCGUAUCUCACGAAGAUGCGCGGUGUCGAAAUGAAGAUGCUAAGCUCACCGCCUGGGAAGUACGGUCGCAAGACUGAAACUUUAAGGAAUUGGCGGGGGAGCA
rnacentral:rRNA from 1 species